CGAUUGCACGAAUGCGGAGAUCGACAAUAACACUGCAGACUGUUCCAGGGUUGUUGCUGUUUGGAAAGUGUAUACAUGUGUCAUUUUUAGCGAAGAUGAGCUUAGGUGGAAGUGACAUCAGCGUGACUGGCUCGUUGAAAUCUUCAAUAAGCGAGAAGGGAGAGUUUUGUGAGGAAUGUUAGCUGUAACAGAUGAUGGGUCAAGUGGAUUUAAAGCGGAGGCCAACCUCUACCAUCUGUACGUGUCCCUGUCGUGUCCAUAGGCCCACCUCGCCCUUAUACUUCGAGCACUGAAGGGGUUCCACGAUGUCAUCUCCUGUACUGUUGUGGAUUGGGUGUUGAGAAAUUCAAUGAUCAGAGGCCCAGAUGUACGCUUGACUCACUUAAUGGCGCCAUUUAUGAAAGCUGACCCAGCCCGAUCAACAACGGAGUGUACCGCUGUGGGUUUGCACGGAGCCAGGAGGCGUACGACAGCGCUGUCACUGAACCAUUCCAGGGACUGUGUAAGAUAAAGCAACAAGUUGUGCAGAAGAAAAGUACACUUUCUUAAUUUACGCCUUCAUGGGAAGUCCAAGUUAGAAUAGGUCCCCAGCAACCUCUGUUUGUCAUAAGAGGUGACCAAAUGGAUAGGGUGGUCAGACUCGGGGACUUUGUUGACUGUGCCUUUAUACAUGUAUACUCCGGCGACGGAUUGGAUCCUUGCUCAAAACAUCCGACACUGGUUUGGCGUUGGACUCGAAACAGUCUCUGUGUCCAAUAUGAAUGCCCAAGGCUAGUGUUUCACACAGGGAUCACAGCACUGCAACAGCUUAUGUUUGACCGUUCCGACACUCUGAUUGAUUUGACAGCGCCAGCCACAGAGUGAUCACAGCACUGCAACAGCUUAUGUUUGACCGUUCCGACACUCUGAUUGAUUUUGACAGCGCCAGCCAGAGUGAUCACAGUCUGAUGGGUGUUGAAGGGGACACAGGUCAGUAUGUGGGCAUCUUAUGAUGGGCCAUCCAAUCCUUUCAGUCGCCUUGUAUGACAGGCCUAGGAUGCAGGAGACCAACUGGGUAUUCUGUCGGAAUCGCCACAGGUCUGAACACUCACAAUAUAGUGCACAAUAUAGUACGUUUGAUGUGAAGAAACACACACAUUUCCAAGAGAACUAAUUGCAUAAGCUUGUGAGAUUAGAACUGUAUUGAACUAGAAGAUACAUUAUGCAGUUCAUGUCAAUGAUGAUGUUUCUCUCUGAUGGUGGAUUCCGUGAAGGGGCGAAAGAAUAUUAAUACAACACACCGCUGAGUAUCAGGAAUAAUACCAAUAAAACAUGUUGAUGAACAUA